rnacentral:sRNA from 1 species
CUACCAUCUCUUACCCAUGUCUUUUGAGUACCUUCGUUUCCUCGGCGGGUCCGCCCGCCGAUUGGACAAACUUAAACCCUUUGUAAUUGAAAUCAGCGUCUGAAAAAACAUAAUAGUUACAACUUUCAACAACGGAUCUCUUGGUUCUGGCAUCGAUGAAGAACGCAGCGAAAUGCGAUAAGUAGUGUGAAUUGCAGAAUUCAGUGAAUCAUCGAAUCUUUGAACGCACAUUGCGCCCCUUGGUAUUCCAUGGGGCAUGCCUGUUCGAGCGUCAUUUGUACCUUCAAGCUCUGCUUGGUGUUGGGUGUUUGUCUCGCCUUUGCGUGUAGACUCGCCUUAAAACAAUUGGCAGCCGGCGUAUUGAUUUCGGAGCGCAGUACAUCUCGCGCUUUGCACUCAUAACGACGACGUCCAAAAAGUACUUUUUACACUC